rnacentral:rRNA from 1 species
GACGAACGCUGGCGGCGUGCUUAACACAUGCAAGUCGAACGAUAAAGCCCAGCUUGUUUGGUGGAUUAGUGUCGAACGCGUGAGUAACACGCGUGUAACCCGUCCUUAACUCUGGGAUAAGCCUGGGAAACACUGUCUAAUACAGGGUAUGAGCGUCCAUCGCACGGUGGGUGUUGUAAAGAUUUUCCGGUUUUGGAUGGACACGCGGCCUAUCAGCUUGUUGGUGAGGUAAUGGCUCACCAAGGCGACGACGGGUAGCCGGCCUGAGAGGGUGACCGGCCACACUGGGCCUGGGAGACGGCCCAGACUCCUACGGGAGGCAGCAGGGGGGAAUAUUGCACAAUGGGGGGAAGCCUGAUGCAGCGACGCCGCGUGAGGGAUGACGGCCUUCGGGUUGUAAACCGCUUUCAGUAGGGACGAAGCGAGAGUGACGGUACCUGGUGAAGAAGCACCGGCUAACUACGUG